rnacentral:rRNA from 1 species
AGUGGGGAAUUUUGGACAAUGGGGGGAACCCUGAUCCAGCCAUGCCGCGUGCAGGAUGAAGGCCUUCGGGUUGUAAACUGCUUUUGUACGGAACGAAAAGGUCUUUUCUAAUAAAGAAGGCUGAUGACGGUACCGUAAGAAUAAGCACCGGCCAACUACGUGCCAGCAGCCGCGGUAAUACGUAGGGUGCGAGCGUUAAUCGGAAUUACUGGGCGUAAAGCGUGCGCAGGCGGUUAUGCAAGACAGAUGUGAAAUCCCCGGGCUCAACCUGGGAACUGCAUUAGUGACUGCAUAGCUAGAGUGCGGCAGAGGGGGAUGGAAUUCCGCGUGUAGCAGUGAAAUGCGUAGAUAUGCGGAGGAACACCGAUGGCGAAGGCAAUCCCCUGGGCCUGCACUGACGCUCAUGCACGAAAGCGUGGGGAGCAAACAGGAUUAGAUACCCUGGUAGUCCACGCCCUAAACGAUGUCAACUGGUUGUUGGGGAUUUACUUCCUCAGUAACGAAGCUAACGCGUGAAGUUGACCGCCUGGGGAGUACGGCCGC